rnacentral:rRNA from 1 species
AGCAGUAGGAGCAGGCUUUGUCCUGUGACUGCGUACCUUUUGUAUAAUGGGUCAGCGACUUAUAUUCAGUGGCAAGGUUAACCAUCUAGGGGAGCCGUAGGGAAACCGAGUCUUAACUGGGCGUUCAGUCUCUGGAUAUAGACCCGAAACCAGGUGAUCUAGCCAUGGGCAGGUUGAAGGUUGAGUAACAUCAACUGGAGGACCGAACCGACUAAUGUUGAAAAAUUAGCGGAUGACUUGUGGCUAGGGGUGAAAGGCCAAUCAAACCUGGAGAUAGCUGGUUCUCCCCGAAAGCUAUUUAGGUAGCGCCUCGGACGAAUACUACUGGGGGUAGAGCACUGUUAAGGCUAGGGGGUCAUCCCGACUUACCAACCCUUUGCAAACUCCGAAUACCAGUAAGUACUAUCCGGGAGACACACGGCGGGUGCUAACGUCCGUCGUGGAGAGGGAAACAACCCAGACCGCCAGCUAAGGUCCCAAAUUACUACUAAGUGGGAAACGAUGUGGGAAGGCUCAGACAGCCAGGAUGUUGGCUUAGAAGCAGCCAUCAUUUAAAGAAAGCGUAAUAGCUCACUGGUCGAGUCGGCCUGCGCGGAAGAUGUAACGGGGCUAAGUAGUAAACCGAAGCUGCGGCAAUACUCUUUGAGUAUUGGGUAGGGGAGCGUUCUGUAAGCGGUUGAAGGUGUGUGGUAACGCAUGCUGGACGUAUCAGAAGUGCGAAUGCUGACAUGAGUAACGAUAAAGGGGGUGAAAAACCUCCUCGCCGGAAGACCAAGGGUUCCUGUCCAACGUUAAUCGGGGCAGGGUAAGUCGACCCCUAAGGCGAGGCCGAAAGGCGUAGUCGAUGGGAAACGGGUUAAUAUUCCCGUACUUCUUACAAUUGCGAUGGGGGGACGGAGAAGGCUAGGUGGGCCUGGCGACGGUUGUCCAGGUUCAAGUGCGUAGGCUUAAGAGUUAGGUAAAUCCGGCUCUUUUUAAGGCUGAGACACGACGUCGAGCCACUACGGU